rnacentral:lncRNA from 1 species
GGGGUAACCAUGGUUGGCCAUGAGAGGGGUAUGAGAGAGCUUCUUUGUUUGAGUUGGGAAGAAGAAGAGAGGAGAUGGGAUUAUUUUGGAUCUAGCUAGACCCGGUUCACGGUGGACCACGUUAAUUUUUGCAUGAUUUAUUUUUAUAUUUAGGUUUCAAUUUAUCGUAACAAUAUUAGACGUAAUUAAGUUGUUAAUUAGAGUGUUUUGCCUCUAUCAGUUGAAUUAUAUUUAAUUGGAAAAGCUUCUGGUGCACGUUGCUGAUGCUGGAUCGGGUGCAGUGAAAUUUUGGUGCUUAUAAUGGCUUAAAAGAUCAGCCAGGGACCAAUCUGUAAAUAGCAGUUUUGGUUUUGGGGACUGAUCCGUAAAAGAGGCAUAACUUUUUGUCCGUAAGGCGGAAUUUUGCGAUUCAAGUUCUAUAGGACUCGUCUUGUAAAUACGGAUAAGAUCGUGUGGUCUAAUUAUUCUGAUUUAAUGUAUUAUUUUCGCAGAAUUUUUAAUAGUUAAAGGGCUUGUUUGAAAAUAUAUUUUAUUUGGGUCUUUUAGUCGUUGUAGGUGCUGAGACAACCGUAAAAUCUCAAUCUUAGAACGUGACGAAUUUGUGAGCACUAAUAGAGGCAAGUAAAUAGCUACUUUCUGCAAACGGUAGAAAAUAUGCGGAUCCGAGUGGGUUCAGGACAUAAUUAUUAUCUGUUCUGUUUACUAAUUGUUGAUACAUCCGAGUGGAUUUUAUAAUUAUUAUUAACAGACAUGGUUUAUUUAUUUUGCACAUUAUUAUUAUCAUAUUCUAUUAUUGGAUAUGACUGUUGCGGUCGGAUUCCUCGGAGGAGAGGGAUUUAUCCGGUACGCAGUUUUCGAGAAGAAACAGCGCGUAAUUGUAGCUCUCGCGGUUAGAGCGACGGAGUGGAGAUGCUCUAAAUUAUGACCUUUGUAGUUUCAAAUUUAAAUUAUCGUUAUUCUUGAAGUAGAUUUCUUGUUAAGCAUUGCGCUUACUUUUGUUGUCUACUGUUUCAGGUACCGAGAGUCGGGGUGUGUGAGAUAAUUGGCCGGCGAGAACUCGUUAGAUAGAUUUUAAAUUUUGGACAUAUGAUUUAUUUUGACAUAAGAUUGAUUAUAUGGACAUUUAGAAGUUAUUGUUUAGUUUCGUUUUAAUUAAUAAAUUAUUUAGUUUUUAACUGUGAUGGUGGCUUUGGAUCAAUUUAAGGCCUUCCGUUUUCGGAGGUUCUUCCUCUGAAUUCGUGGCCGGUUGUUGCGGUUCAGAUCCGAGCAGUUGCAUCUGGGGCGUGAUAGCUUUAGUGGUAUCAAAGCCUAGGUUAUUGACACCUUAGCAAAAUGACACCAUACUUAGGGAUUUAGGACGCGCGAGUGCGUGGGAUUCUUUUUGGACUCGAGGCGAGGGUUUAGCAAACUUUUAUGUCUUAAUUGUGUUAUGUUUUGUAGACGAUGCCACGUUCUCGGAGGACUGUCACUUCGCAAGCUAAUGUACCUGUUGAUCCUAUUCCACCGGGGGAUCUACCACCAGAGAACUCGCAACCAGAAGUAUCCUCAGUAAAAAAGCGACAGAGAAUGCCGCAUGAUCCAUUACAAGAGAUGCUGAGUGUUAUUAAAACACAACAAGAUCAGAUGAUGGCCCUACAGGAAGAGAUCAGAGGCCUCAAGGCAAUGCAAAGUAACGAUCCUCGAGGUGGAAAUAGCCUUAUUGAUUUUCAAAAGCUAAAUCCUCCUAUUUUUCGUGGGUCGACAGAUCCUCUGGAGGCGGAGUCUUGGCUCCAGGAGAUGGAGAAGGCCUUGACGCAUAUGGACAUCGGAGGAGAGACACAGGUGACUUUCGCCACUUAUAUGCUUCGAGAAGGGGCUUAUGAGUGGUGGAAGUCAGUUCGGGACGGACACAGCGACAAGACACAAUCUUGGACAUGGAAGGAGUUUUGUAAGAUUUUCUAUGACAAGUACUUUCCAGAUAGUAUUCAUCGAGCUAAGAAAGCAGAAUUCGUACACUUGGAACAGAGUAAUCGCACGAUUAUCGAGUACGAGCUCGAAUUUACUCGGUUAGAGCGCUUUGCUCCGGCCGCAUUUAUGGACCUAAUGAAUCGGAUCUUCAAGCCUUAUCUAGACCAGUUUGUGGUGGUGUUUAUUGAUGACAUUCUUAUUUACUCGCGGAGUGCAGAGCAACACGAACAACACCUGAGAUUAGUGCUCCAGAUCCUACGAGACAGGAAACUUUAUGCUAAACUAAAGAAAUGUGACUUCUGGUUGGAAGAGGUCUCUUUCUAGGGGCAUGUCGUGUCCAAGGAUGGUAUCUCGGUUGAUAAAAGAAAGGUCGAAGCUGUGCAGGCAUGGCUGAGGCCUACGAGUGCUACCGAGAUUCGUAGCUUUCUGGGCCUAGCUGGCUAUUAUCGACGGUUCAUAGAGGGGUUCUCUCGGAUCGCCGUCCCUUUGACGCGGUUGACGCAAAAAAAAGAGCGAAAUUUGUGUGGACCGAUGAGUGCGAGGAGAACUUUCAAGAGCUGAAGCGACGGUUGAUCACGGCUCCUAUCUUGGCACUUCCUGUGUGUGGUGAAGGCUUCAUUGUUUAUAGUGAUGCAUCCUUACGAGGUUUAGGGUGUGUCUUGAUGCAAAAUGAUCGAGUGAUUGCUUAUGCUUCUAGACAGCUAAAGCCAUACGAGCAAAACUACCCUACUCAUGACCUAGAGCUUGCCGCAGUAGUGUUUGCUCUUAAGAUUUGGCGUCAUUAUCUUUAUGGGGAGCAAUGUGAGUUUUACACCGAUCAUAAAAGCUUAAAAUAUUUUUUCACGCAGAAAGAGCUAAAUAUGCGACAACGUAGAUGGCUUGAGCUUAUGAAGGAUUAUGAGUUGACAAUCUUGUAUCAUCCCGAGAAAGCGAAUGUGGUAGCGGAUGCGCUAAGCUGCAAGGCCACUGAAAAUUUGGCUACACUGAUUACUGAGCAAAAGUAUCUUUUAGAGGAUCUACGAAAGAUAGACUUAGAGGUGACUAUUCACGAGCCGGGAGCUCGAUUGGCUCAACUUCGAAUUCGACCCACAUUAUUGGAUCAAAUUAAGUUGGCCCAGUCAUCCGAUGUUGCUCUUCAGAAGAUCCGAGCGGCCGUGGGGGUAGGUUCUCAGAUAGAAUUUCAUAUCCACGAGGAUGGAUCGUUAAGGUACGGUAAUCGACUAUGUGUUCCCAACGAUGAGGCCUUAAAGAGAAAAAUCUUGGAGGAGACUCAUUCGUCAGCUUACACCAUACAUCCGGGUAGCACAAAGAUGUAUCGUGACAUAAGAGAAAUUUUCUGGUAGGCCGGCAUGAAACGAGACAUUGCUCGAUUUGUUUCACAGUGUCUUGUAUGCCAGCGGGUCAAAGCUGAGCACCAGAGGACGGCGGGAUUAUUGCAGCCGCUGCCGAUACCCGAGUAGAAAUGGGAGAAGAUUACUAUGGAUUUUGUGGUAGGGUUACCACGUACACAGUUAGGGUCCGAUGCGAUUUGGGUGGUCGUCGACCGGUUGACUAAGUCUGCGCACUUCAUACCUAUUAAGGUGAGCUAUCCUUUGGAGAAACUUGCGAAAUUAUAUAUCAAAGAUGUGGUGAGACUACAUGGUGUCCCGGUAUCCAUCGUUUCAGAUCGAGAUCCGCGAUUUGUGUCGCGAUUUUGGCAUAGCUUGCAUGAGGCUUUGGGGACUCGCUUGGAUAUGAGUACGGCAUAUCAUCCGCAGAGCGAUGGUCAGUCAGAGCGCACGAUACAGAUCUUAGAAGAUAUGUUGCGAGCAUGCGUGAUUGACUGGGGUGGGUCGUGGGACCGGCACUUACCAUUGGCGGAGUUUGCGUACAAUAAUAGUUAUCAAGCCAGUAUACAGAUGCCCCCUUUUGAAGCUCUCUAUGGAAGAAAGUGUAGAUCGCCUAUCCACUGGGAUGAUGUUGGCGAGAGACAGAUUCUAGGGCCUGAGCUGGUCCAGCAAGCUAAUGAAAAAGUGCGGGUUGUGCGAGAACGUCUAUGAGCCGCACAGAAUAGACAGAAGAGCUAUAGUGAUAGUCGUCGGCGAAUGUUAGAAUUCACAGUUGGUGAUGACGUGUUCCUGAAGGUGUCGCCAACCAAGGGGGUAAUACGGUUUGGGCUUCGAGGAAAGCUGAAUCCGUGUUACAUUGGACCUUUUGAAAUACUGGAACGAGUCAACAACGUGGCGUACCGAGUAGCAUUACCGCCUUCUCUUGCUGGGGUGCAUAAUGUGUUCCAUGUGUCGAUGCUGCGAAAGUAUGUUCAAGAUCCAAAACACGUCAUCGACUAUUCUCCAAUUCAGCUGAGAAAGGACCUAUCAUACGAGGAGCAGCCUAUCCGGAUCUUGGAUUGAAGGGAAAAGGUUUUGUGAAAAAGGACGGUUCAGCUGGUACGUGUGCUGUGGAGGCAUCACGUGGAGAAUGAGGCGACGUGGGAGCCGGAAGAGGAGAUACGGAGCAAAUAUCCUCAGCUCUUUCCAGAUUCUGUUAAGUAAAUUUCGGGGACGAAAUUUCUUUUAAGGGGGGUAAGAUGUAAUACCCGUAUCUAAUUAAUUUAAAUUAGAAUUUAAAUAUGUGGCCAUGAUUGUAGUUUUGUGAUAAACCCGUUAUUAAAUAUUUUUGAUUUAUUUGUACCGUCGGAUUAAGCGGAUUCGGUUGGAUUUGAUUUUCGGAUUAAUUAUACUCUAAUACUAGUUAGAGUAGGAUUGAGAUUUAGCCCUAAUUAAUCACCUAUAAAUAGGUAAUUUAGGGAGGGUGUACGGCCAAAAAUAUUAUAAUAAUAAAUAUUGUUGCCGGAUUCUUUGUGCAAGCGUGGCCGCCGGCGGGAGCAAGAUCCGACAAUCGUGGGGGAGAGGAAAAAGAACGAGAGCGAGGUGAGUCUCCAAUAAUUAGUUUUCUCGUUUUUUUCUCUCUUUUCUUUCUUCUUCUAUCUCCCAAUCUUAUCCUCUCUCCUCGUUGUACCGCCGCCGCCGUCGCCGGAGUGGUCGCCGGCCACCUACGGACGGGUUGGGGUGAACCCCCUAUGGGGUAACCAUGGUUGGCCAUGAGAGGGGUAUGAGAGAGCUUCUUUGUUUGAGUUGGGAAGAAGAAGAGAGGAGAUGGGAUUAUUUUGGAUCUGGCUAGACCCGGUUCACGGUGGACCACGUUAAUUUUUGCAUGAUUUAUUUUUAUAUUUAGGUUUCAAUUUAUCGUAACGAUAUUAGACGUAAUUAAGUUGUUAAUUAGAGUGUUUUGCCUCUAUCGGUUGAAUUAUAUUUAAUUGGAAAAGCUUCUGGUGCACGUUGCUGAUGCUGGAUCGGGUGCAGCGAAAUUUUGGUGCUUAUAAUGGCUUAAAAGAUCAGCCAGGGACCAAUCUGUAAAUAGCAGUUUUGGUUUUGGGGACUGAUCCGUAAAAGAGGCAUAACUUUUUGUCCGUA